AUAAUACUCACUCCGUCCUGAAUUAGUUAUCUUAGAUUUGUCUAGAUACAGGUGUAUCUAGACACGUUUUAGUGUUAGGUACAUCCAUAUGCACACAAAUCUAAGAUAACUAAUUUGGGACAGAGGUAAUAUCUU
rfam:Triticum aestivum genome assembly, contig: Triticum_aestivum_CS42_TGACv1_scaffold_556754_7AL